rnacentral:lncRNA from 1 species
AUAUGCCAAAAUACCUCACUUUGUCAUCUAAUGUUUAUUUGUUGGUAGAAUUUAGAAUCGAUACAAAUAAAAAGUAUUAUAAUUAAGAAAAUUGAUUAAUACAAUCUAUAACAUAGCAAAUUAACACACAAACAGACUAACAUUGAUGCCACUAAAAUACAAAAUAAAGUAGUGCAAGCCACCAACAUACAUUAGUAUUAUAUUUAUUCAAAUACAUUUUGUUUCACAUUUACAUCACAUUUUUCUUUUUAAACGCUUAAGAAUCUAUAAUAACCAAAAAGUGCUAAAAAGUAUUUGAAAUUAUCU